AUUGAACGCUGGCGGCAUGCCCUACACAUGCAAGUCGAACGGCAGCACGGGAGCAAUCCUGGUGGCGAGUGGCGAACGGGUGAGUAAAGUAUCGGAACGUGCCCAGUCGUGGGGGAUAACGUAGCGAAAGCUACGCUAAUACCGCAUACGAUCCAUGGAUGAAAGCGGGGGAUCGCAAGACCUCGCGCGAUUGGAGCGGCCGAUAUCAGAUUAGGUAGUUGGUGGGGUAAAGGCUCACCAAGCCGACGAUCUGUAGCUGGUCUGAGAGGACGACCAGCCACACUGGGACUGAGACACGGCCCAGACUCCUACGGGAGGCAGCAGUGGGGAAUUUUGGACAAUGGGCGAAAGCCUGAUCCAGCCAUGCCGCGUGCAGGAUGAAGGCCUUCGGGUUGUAAACUGCUUUUGUACGGAACGAAAAGGUUUGGCCUAAUAAGCUGAGCUCAUGACGGUACCGUAAGGAUAAGCACCGGCUAACUACGUGCCAGCCGCCGCGGUAA
rnacentral:rRNA from 1 species